rnacentral:ncRNA from 2 species
UUACUUUGAAACGAUUUUGGUUCCCAAACUAACUCUUGAUUUUGGGUUGGAGCUUGGGAUUAAAAGGGAAUCCGGUGCGAAACCGGAGCUGUCCCCGCAACUGUAAGUCUGCCCCAUCGCAACAUGGGGAAGUACUUUUACACCACUAAGCCAUUGAGCCGAUCCUGAUAGCUAUCGGGACGACUUGAGAAGGCCGGUAAAAGUCAGACGAGCCAGGAGACCUGCCUAGAUCAGCUGAUUCUG